CAAGACGUAGCUACAAACAAAAGCAUUCAGCUUACACCUGAAAGAUAUCUCCAAACGAGAUCGCCUUGA
rnacentral:tRNA from 1 species